GUGUCAGCCGCCGCGGUAAUACGGAGGGUGCAAGCGUUAUCCGGAUUCACUGGGUUUAAAGGGUGCGUAGGCGGGCAUUUAAGUCAGUGGUGAAAUACCUGAGCUUAACUUGGGAACUGCCAUUGAUACUGCUAGUCUUGAGUAUGGUUGAGGUGGGCGGAAUGUGUCAUGUAGCGGUGAAAUGCUUAGAUAUGACCCAGAACACCAAUUGCGAAGGCAGCUUGCUAAGCUAUAACUGACACUGAUGCACGAAAGCGUGGGGAGCAAACAGGAUUAGAUACCCUUGUAGUCC
rnacentral:rRNA from 1 species